GGUCUCCCCUGUCGUGUGUCUCCGUCCCUCCACCACACAGCGCCGUGGCCGCCACCACCGCCGCCACCUCCCGCUCCUCCCGACCCUCGUCCGCGGUGUCUACGGGAGACGAGGCGACGCUCCCCGCCGGUGGCGGCAGCGCCUCCAUCAGCUUGAUGGCGGCCAUAGCGGUGCUGGCGAUCCUCCCCUUCGUGGUGUGCACCACGUGGGGCACACGGAGUGCCGGCAAACGUGGCGCGGACGAGCAAGGAGGGAGCUCCCCGAGCCUGGUGCCUGAGAGAGAUGCCGUCUCUGCCGAGUGCAG